rnacentral:lncRNA from 1 species
GAAAUAUUACUGAUAAACGAUAUUUAAUGCUGUUAAAAGAACCCUAGUUUACAAAAAAACUCAUAUUUUAUUAUUAUGAAAUAAAUAUAAGCAAUUAAAAACUAAUUAUUCUUUCAACGGCCGGAAUCGGUUGUGACGUCAAAGCGCUCGUUGGUUUUCCCUAUAAACUGGUGAAAGUGAUAAGGAUGGCAACGCUGCAACCUGUCAAGAUUAUGUCAAUAUGGCGGCUGAGAAGUAAACAAAACAAACAUAAAAAAUGUUAUUUUAUCAUGAUUCUAUCAUCUUAAUGUGUUUCAGUAGUGUUUUAGUGGUUUUAGAUUAUUUUAGUUGCGUUUCUGUGUAAUUUUGUGUUGUACAAAGAUUAAUUUAACAUUUUCUCUGGAAGUAUUAAAACUGAACUGAAAGGUUAAAUGCAAUUACAACCUAAAGAUUUUACUUAUGAAAUGAAGAAUGCUCCCUGUCUGCUCUAAUCAUUUUAUAUCUGGAAGACCAGCCGACUUAAGGAUAACAAUCCAGAUUGGGGAGCGGUAUCAAGGGAAUAGGGUACCUACAAGAAAAAAUUUGCCUUUUUAUUCCUAUUGAAAUCAUUUAUAAGGCACUGGACUGUCUUAUAUUCUGCAAAUACUAGGUUUCCAAAAGAUCCUGAAAGGCGUGAAGUAUGGAUCAGAUUUGUCAAUAGAGGAGUAUGGAAACCUAGCAAAAAUAGUGUAUUAUGUUCAACAACAUUUUUUAGGAAAACAUAUUGACAGAACUUUACUUUCAUCUGUUUGUUUGAGAGACUGUGCUGCCCCAAUAGCUUAUGUCAUACAGAAUCAGCUUAGAGAAGUGGUCUACAAAAAACCAGGAAGGUAAUGGAAUAUGUGGCUACGAAAGGCAAAAGAAAGGUUUACAAAGCAAAUGUGACACAUUUUUUUUAAUAUUUAGGAAUAAAUUACAUUAAAAAAUGUAUGAAAAGAUUUUGUGCAAUAAAAAUGUUUAUAUUUAUCAAGAA